rnacentral:lncRNA from 1 species
UUUAGAGUUUCAGAUUCUCGCCUAGACUGGACGACUAGCCCGCUUGCCCAGAUCGUGAGCUUGAGCGUGAGAAGCCGCGUCUCUGAUACCGAGCAGGGUGGGCCCUCGAAACACUGCUCCUGUCCGGCCCGUGCCGUGCCCCUCAGCCCGAGACAAGCGGACGGAGCAGCCCUUCCAUUCCCAGGCCUCGAGGGUGUCAGGUCAGAGGAGGGAGGGCAGGUUCCCACUCCCACAGCCGAGAGCAAACCCCAAAGCCAGAAGCCACCGUGACGCGGCUGCCCCCGCUCUGGGGGCUGGGGACCUUCUCACCAGAGACCCCAGGCCGAAUGCCCCUCUGGCUGGCCGCACGGCGGGCACCUAUCUGCCGAACAAGCACACAUCGACUCAUCCCACGAACAAACAAGCCGAAGACAGGUCCCAGAACCAGAAGGGCUCCCACCGCCCGGCCCCAGCUCCCCGAGACGGGGUGUGUGUCCUGCCGCACCGCUACGAGCACCCCACCAGCCCGGCCCGCACCCGGCCUCCAGGCUGGCCCUGGCUGGCCGCCCUCCGGCAAGACGUGACUGUCUGCCUGCCUCGGAGGACGUCUGGUCACCUUGCCUUUGCAGCCCGAGGAAGCUGUGUCAUCCUGGCUACGUCCGGAGGUGACUCAGGCAGCUGCUGGGCUGACAGCAGGCCGAACGCUGCCCCGCACCCGCCACGCCCCGUGCCCCUCUGCUCCUGCCACCCAGCUUCAGGCCAGGCCCUGCUCCCCUCAAGCCCCCGGGGGGUCCCCCUCUGGCUUCUGUUCUCCCCCAGCCCAGCUGUGCCAUGCAGGGCUCCAAGCAGCCCAACCUCCAAGUCCAGCCACGGAUGCCCCUGGAGAACCCAGAGCCUGCACGGGCCCCGGAGGCUCGCCCUCUCUCCACACCUGCCCUCCUCCUGGGCCUCCAGCUCAGGUGAUGAUGGCCCCCAGGCCUCACCUCUCCUUCCAUGCCCACCUGCUAGGCUCAGCCUGCAUCACCCUGUAGAUGCUCCGGCCCUACAGCACCGCCUGGGCUCAGGCCCCCUGCAUCUUGUCUGGAUUCGUAUCUCGGUCCCUCAGAUGCAGCCCCCCGAGCAGGCAGAGGGAGCCCCCCUGCCCAGAGUCCCUCCCGAGUCCGCCUCUCUCCUGACCACCUGUUGCCGUGCCAGGCCUCCCCCCCGCCAAAUCUGUGCUGGGUACCCUCCCACUUCCGAGCC